rnacentral:rRNA from 1 species
GACGAACGCUGGCGGCGUGCCUAACACAUGCAAGUCGAGCGAGUGAAUCUCCUUCGGGAGUGAAGCUAGCGGCGGACGGGUGAGUAACACGUGGGCAACCUGCCUCAUAGAGGGGAAUAGCCUUUCGAAAGGAAGAUUAAUACCGCAUAAGAUUGUAGCUUCGCAUGAAGUAGCAAUUAAAGGAGCAAUCCGCUAUGAGAUGGGCCCGCGGCGCAUUAGCUAGUUGGUGAGGUAACGGCUCACCAAGGCGACGAUGCGUAGCCGACCUGAGAGGGUGAUCGGCCACAUUGGGACUGAGACACGGCCCAGACUCCUACGGGAGGCAGCAGUGGGGAAUAUUGCACAAUGGGGGAAACCCUGAUGCAGCAACGCCGCGUGAGUGAUGACGGCCUCGGUUGUAAAGCUCUGUCUUCAGGGACGGAUAAUGACGGUACCUGAGGAGGAAGCCACGGCUAACUACGUGCCAGCAGCCGCGGU